GGUCAAGUCCUGCGCAACUGGACGUAGCUCAACCCGCCAGGUCCGGAAGGAAGCAACGGUCGGUUACGGAAGGUGUGACGCAGGUAGCUUGGCCUCU
rnacentral:SRP_RNA from 1 species